rnacentral:lncRNA from 8 species
UAGCUCUUUUCUUGUUUUUGUAUAGUGUUCACGUUGUUCAAUUAAAUAUUAAAUGAUGAACACUAACUCCGCUGCACCUUGGUCUUCUCUCCAGUACGACAACCGUUACAACAUGAAAGAUGCUGUCGCUGAGUAUGACUGAAUAAGACUGAAAGGACGAUACAUUGGUUCUGACCAAAGCAAAUGUGUGCACUGUACCGGACACACGCAUCACAGAAAGAGACAGAAUGCAUCGACACCCAAUCGCAGCUUCAAAAGAACUACUCUGUGCAUCUUCUCUCCACCUUCAACAGCACGUCUGGGUCUUCCUCAUUAGUAUUCAUGGAUGGUGUAGUUGCCAGCAUUCAUUUCAUAUAAGUUCUGCUUCGCACCCUGGAUCCAAAUGACUUUCAAUCACUUUGUUCUGGGCAGCGGUCCAGCCCAGAGGGCCACAGAGUGAUGCAUUAAGGUGCUGCAUUAAUACGAUACACCACACAACCACUGAUGCCAUUCAUAUUUCUGUCUUGCCACACUGUGUAGAUCCAGGCAAAAUACAGGAUCACCCCAAGGCUUCCACUCCAGCCACCCACAACUGAGUUCUACAUCGUCACAAAGAUUUACUUCCUCUUAUAAAGCUGUCCUCUCUGUUGCCAGGUACUAUAGACCUCCCAACCGUCUUUAUUAUCAGUCACAAAUCACACUAUUCAGAAGACUGGAACAUAUCUGUCUGCCUAUAUCUAUAAUGCCUCUAAGAAUAUAUCCAGAAAUGCUGAUAUGUUUGUAAUCCAUUUGUUUGAAAAUGAAUCUUAAUUCUCAGUCACAGACAUACACCAAGCUAGGUUUUCUCAUGACACUGCCUGGAUCACACUCCAAAUGAAGUGUGUUUUUCCCCUCCUUUGAGCUUUGUAAGUGUCUGUAGUGGAUAUUGUUAUGGCGCUUUCUGCUGAUUGGUGUCUGGCCUUGUGUUCUCUGGGUGAUGCCAGCUCACUCACGGAGAGCUUGGAUGAGCUAAAGCAGAAACAGUCACUGCUCUGAAUACAAAGAAACCUCAAGCCAAAUCUCAGUUAAGAGUUGCUAUUAUCUCUCACGGGCAGAAAGGAUUGAUAUUUGGUCAUGUUGUGUCAGGGUUAUGUAGAUUCGAAUUCAAACAGCCUUAUCCAAUGGUUGACUCCAACAGUGGCUGUUAGCUGUAGGUUGUAGGUUGUGCAUGUGUUAAAUUCACACAGGAUGUGUGAGCAUGCCACAGUUCAGAG